rnacentral:rRNA from 1 species
GAUGAACGCUAGCGACAGGCCUAACACAUGCAAGUCGAGGGGCAGCAUGGUAUCAGCUUGCUGAUACCGAUGGCGACCGGCGCACGGGUGAGUAACGCGUAUGUAAUCUGCCUGUAACAGAGGGAUAACCCGGAGAAAUCCGGCCUAAUACCUCAUAGCACAUAUUAUUCGCAUGAGUUUUAUGUUAAAGAGACUCGGUUACAGAUGAACAUGCGUUCCAUUAGCUGGUUGGCGGGGUAACGGCCCACCAAGGCAACGAUGGAUAGGGGUUCUGAGAGGAAGGUCCCCCACACUGGUACUGAGACACGGACCAGACUCCUACGGGAGGCAGCAGUGAGGAAUAUUGGUCAAUGGGCGAGAGCCUGAACCAGCCAAGUCGCGUGGAGGAAGACUGCCCUACGGGUUGUAAACUCCUUUUACCNGGGAAUAACGGGGCGCUACGCGUAGCGCUGUGCAUGUACCGGGAGAAUAAGCAUCGGCUAAUUCCGUG